rnacentral:rRNA from 1 species
GACGUAGGGGGCAAGCGUUUGUCCGGAUUUAUUGGGCGUAAAGAGCGUGUAGGCGGCUUGGUAGGUCCGCUGUGAAAACUCGAGGCUCAACCUCGAGAUGUCGGCGGAAACCACUUGGCUAGAGUCCGGAAGAGGAGAGUGGAAUUCCCGGUGUAGCGGUGAAAUGCGCAGAUAUCGGGAAGAACACCUAUGGCGAAGGCAGCUCUCUGGGACGGUACUGACGCUGAGACGCGAAAAGCGUGGGGAGCGAACAGG